rnacentral:lncRNA from 1 species
AGGCUUGCUUUCCUGGGGAACCCAGGCCAUGCAGACUGGCUGGCCCCAGGUGGUGAGCAAAUGUAUGGGGGAGAAAAAGAAGCAGGGAUUUGAGCAGACAGCAAAGGGAGGAAAGAAAGGAGUAGAAAGCAGCAGCACAGCAGACAACAGAAAAAGCUAGAUGAAGAAAGAAGAGGAAAAUGAUAAAUAGAAGCUGAGGCAGCUGUGCAAUGAGGCAGCGUGGGGGACUUGAACUCAGGAAGAGAGGAAAAACCACAGACUCAGUGUCUGCACAGCCCAGCUGGGAAGCCCUUCACGCAGCCACCAGCCCAG